rnacentral:misc_RNA from 1 species
CAGAAAAGGGCCAACCAUGGACUUUAAGGCAAUAGACCAUAGACCUUUCUUCAAAUCAUCUACUUUUUAAUUUAAAUAUCGACUUUUUUACUCUAAAAUUUUGUUUGGUAUAGUUAAUUAUAGUCUAAAAGAUUGAAUUAUGGAGCUAAUGACGAUGUUUUGCAUGGAUCCCAGAAAAUUGGUUGGAGUUGUGGAAGUUGAGAAGAAACAAUCCAUUAAUAAAAGCCAUAUGAAUGAAAGAAAAUGGUACCACCAUUUCAUAUCAUUCAAAUGCAUUAAUUCCUUCACGUGCCAACUACACAUGUCCAUCUGUAUGAGACACCCACACCGUUAACUCUCUUUCUUCUCUCUGUAUCUCUUUACCAUACUUAUUUUAUGAUCUUUCAUUAAUUGUUAGUUGUUUGGUGUUUGUUGUCAUCUCUAUUCCCCAGCUCAACUAGUGCCCAAUAGACUUCCUUCCCUUUCUUUUUAUGUAAUAUAUAAUUCUUCUCAUUCUGAUAACGCCUCUGAAUUCAUUUCUUUCUGGUUCGGAGAAUGGAGAUUGAGGUGGAAAGUAGUAGUAAUAGCAACAAUGGUGGCGGUGCUGGUGAUACUAGCAGCUAUAGCACUUGCCAAAGUAAUGCAGUCUCCUCAGUCGGUGGAGAGGAGAGAGGUACAUAUGUGGUGUGGGAGAAUCUGACUGUGGUGUUGCCAAAUUUUGGGCAUGGUCCAACCAAAAGGUUGCUUCAAGGGCUUAGUGGGUGUGCUGAGCCUGGAAGAAUCAUGGCUAUUAUGGGUCCUUCUGGGUCUGGAAAAUCCACACUUCUUGAUUCGCUAGCAGGUAGACUCUCAAGAAAUGUGAUAAUGACUGGAAAUGUUCUUUUUAAUGGGAAGAAGAGGAGGUUGGGGUCUGGCGUCGCUUAUGUGACACAAGAGGACGUAUUAUUAGGAACUCUUACAGUAAGAGAAACCGUUACUUAUUCAGCAAAUUUGAGGUUUCCAACUACCAUGACCAAAGAAGAGAUUUCUGAUGUUGUAGAAGGAACAAUCAUGGAAAUGGGUCUCCAAGAUUGCGCGGAUCGGCUAAUUGGAAAUUGGCAUUUGAGAGGAAUAAGUGGUGGCGAAAAGAGGCGACUUAGCAUUAGUCUGGAGAUAUUAACACAACCUCAUGUCAUGUUUCUUGAUGAACCCACUUCUGGCCUCGAUAGUGCUUCAGCUUUCUUUGUCAUUGGAGCUCUGAGAAACAUUGCUCUUGAUGGAAGAAUAGUGAUUUGUUCUAUUCACCAGCCAAGUAGUUUUGUCUUUGAUUUGUUUGAUGACUUAUGCCUCCUCUCAAGUGGAGAAACCAUCUAUUUUGGAGAGGCAAAGGCGGCCAUCAAGUUCUUUUCCCAGGCUGGAUUUCCUUGUCCAACAAGGAGAAACCCUUCAGAUCACUUUCUUAGGUGUAUCAAUUCAGAUUUUGACAAGAUAGCUGCGAAUCGAUUACGAUCACAAAAAGAUUUUGGAUCUCCUGAAUCUUCAAAUUCUCAAAUCAAUCUGAGCACAGAAGAUAUCAAAUCGGUGCUUAUACAAAAAUACAUGAAUUUUGCAUAUUCCCUAGACACAAGAAAACGGAUUCGAGAACUUACCCUUGAUCAUGAAGAGCUUGUGACUGGUCCAUAUAUGAACAAAGCCAGUUCGUGGAAGCAACUCUGCAUAUUAACUAACCGUUCAUUCAUAAACAUGACAAGGGAUCUAGCAUAUUACUGGAUACGGAUCCUAUUCUGUGUUCUAAUCGCACUUGGUGCUGGAAUUAUGUUCUUUGAUAUUGGCUUAUCAAGCUCAGCAAUCUUAGCAAGAGUUAAAUGUUACACAUAUUUUUUCGACUUCUUGCUUUGCUUGUGUGUUGGAGGCUUACCCUCUCUCAGUGAAGAAUGGAAGGUAGUGUACUAUGAAAGAUACAAUGGGCACUAUGGAGAGGGUGUGUUUGUGCUUGCCAAUUUCCUUUCAUCGCUCCCUUUCUUGGUGAUCAUCAGUCUAUCCUCUGGAAUUAUAAUCUAUUACAUGGUGAAAUUUCACCUGGGAUUCUCCAUCUGUUGCUAUUUCUGUAUCAAUCUCUUCUGCUGCGUUGCUAUUAUGGAGAGUAUCACAAUGAUUGUUGCAUUACUUGUACCCAACUUCCUGAUGGGAAUAGGCAUUACAGCUGCUGUGAUUAUGCUUUUGACGAUUGCAGCUGGACUCUAUAGGCAACUGGCUUAUCUUCCCAAGUUUUUCUGGCAGUACCCAAUGAGCUAUAUCAGUUUUACGGCCUGGGCUGUACAGGGUCAAUACAAAAAUGAUGUGAUUGGUCUCGAGUUCGAACCAUGGGUGCCUGGACAGCCAAAGCUUAAGGGCGAGAGGAUCCUUGAGACUGACUUAGGAGUCAACUCGAACCACUCCAAGUGGUGGGAUUUGGCUGCCCUUUCAUUCUUAUUUUUGUGUCACAGGUUUAUCUUUUUUAUGAUACUCAAAUACAAGGAUAGAGCCCUAUGGCUAUCGCGUAGGCUCUUUGUCAGACACAAUCUUGAAUCCUUGGCCAAUAAACUCUCAGAUUCUCUUGGAAGGGACAAAUACACCAUCUCCAAGAGACACCAACCUCUCCAUCCAUUGUCUUCUCAAGAAGGUCUAGCAUCACCAUUGCCUUAAAAGUGUAAUUUUCCAAUACCAUGGUAUUUAUAGAGAAAAAUGGUAGACAAGUACUUCCCCAACAUCAUACAUCCAUGUAAAAAAAAAUAAUUAUCCUGCUUGGUUGAAGAACAUUUCAUAAGCAAUCAAGCAGCCUGUUUGCUCAUUACAAGUAAAUCAAGCAACCACUGCUCUGCUUUGAUCAACUAAUUUAUUUCUCAAGAGUCAAUAUAUGACAUAGGCAACGCUGAAGCUCUGUCCAAAUUACAAAAUUGAAGGAAAUACAAGAUUGAAGAUUGAAAUCCGUAAAAUUGCUUUGGGAGCUCUGCAUGUAUAAUCUACAAUGUAGUGUUUAAUAGUACAAGGUAUCAUUGUAAGAAUUAUAAUGCAUUAUUUGGUUAUAACAGUUUGCUUGGAACAAAAUUGAAUGACAAAAUGAUGAUGGCAACUGCAAAAUAAGUGCUUAUAAUACCCUCAUUUAUUAGCUUCAAUGAAUUCUCUGUACUCUUUCUUCAUUUUAACUCCUGAUACAGUCCUGAGCAUAUCCUUGUUCUUGAAGAACUGCACACAUGGUGUACCCAUAAUUCCAGCUGCUUCUGCUAUUUCUGGAUCUUCCUCAAUAUCAAUUUCAACAAAAUGCACAUUUUGAUCAAAUUCAUCAAUCACCUUGCUAAGAAUUGGCUUCAAAGUCCGACAUGGACCACAAGUUGGUGACGUAUAUAGCACACAUAUGAGUCGUGGACUUUCAUGGUACAACUUUCGUAGAGCAUACUACGAAAGAAAAGGGACAGAAAAAGAAAACAAAUAAGGUUCAAGCUCAUAAUAAAUUAAGAAUCAAAUACAUGAGAACUUAAUGAGAUGCGGAAUAAGGAAGACUCCAAGAAGAUUGCAUCUUAUUCUAAGGUUGCAAUAUACACCUGGCCCUUGUGCUUGGUCAACAUGAUGUCAAAGCCCUCUUGAACAUCUCUGUCAGUGAGUUCCUUCUUAACCUCCUCAGUUGGAGGCUGAUGGAACUCUACAAGUAGAUCAUUGCUAACAAGAUAUCUCUCAACUGAUAAAGCAGCAAUACAUCCAGAUCCAGCAGCAGUUAUGGCUUGCCUCCAUUCAUGGUCCUGUACAUCUCCAGCUGCAAACACACCUUCAACAGAAGUUUUUGCAGAACCUUCGUCAACUAAUACAUAGCCUGUCCUGUCAAGUUCAACUUGGCCUUCCAACAGCUGGAUAUUAGGCGAAUGACCAAUGCCAUAGAACAAGCCUCUUGCCUCAAGUACAAAUUCUUCCCCAGUAUCAAAUUUUCUAGUCAAAAUACCAGACAUCUGCCCUUUAGUAUUGCUAACAACAUCCACCGCCUCUGUAUUGAAGUGCACGGUGAUGUUUGGAUUGCUGAACAAUCUGAAACAUUCGCGAUGAUCAACCUAUCUUGCAUUGCUUUAGAUGCCCUAAGUUGAUCCUUGCGCACAAGCAAAUGAACAUGACGGGCAUACUUGGUUAGGUAUAAUGAUUCCUCUGUAGUUGUAUCACCACCUCCAACAACGGCUAGAACCUGCCCCUUAAAACAGCGGUGAGGCUCCAUCACAAAUUGCACAAGCACUAAUUCCCCUACUCCAAAAUUCAUCUUCACAAGGUAACCUGAGCCUUUUUGCAGCAGCUCCUGUAGCAAAAAUGAGGCUGUGGCACUUAACCUUAUGUUCACUACUUUUCACAGUGAAAGGAUUGUUUUUAACAUCAACAGAUUCCACAUCUUCUUGGAACAGUUCAGCUCCCCAGUGUUCCGCUUGUCGUCGCAUCCUAGUCAAUACAAAAAGUCAAGAUUCCAUCAUAUAAUUUCACUUGAAACAACAGCUUCUUAUAUGCGUAUAUCAUCUGUUCCAUACAAGAACAAGAAUUCAA